GGCUCCGCAGCUCACCAUGAACACCUGCUUCGGUAACACGGAUGCACUUUACUCUCUGUCUCUCUAAUUGGAAACAGAUGCUGAGAUUGCACGAGCCAAGCAGCAAAUAUAUUCAUGACUACACUUAAGUUGUCUGAAAGAGCAGAGUUCAGACAUUUGUCCUUUGAAUGACUGUCCUGUUCUCCAUAAUGGUGGUUUAGCCAAAUCAUCAGGGAAUGAUACUAUCCUAAUAUUUGGCUAUUCAAGAGGAUAUGUGACAGGGUAACAGGGAUACUAAAAGCCACAGAAGAAACACAGCACAUCAUUCAGGAGUUUGAACUUCACUCAAGAAUUUGGAGUUUUCUAGUGACCCCUUAAAUGUUGCCCCAGAAGUGGAUGCUUCAUUCACCAUGUUGCCCGUGCUCUUUAUGCGGCCACUCACAUCAGGAAAAGAAAGCAGACUUCCAGCCUGGAUACUGAAGGACAGCAGGCCAGAUGCAAGCUGUCAGUCCCUACUUUACCCGGCUAAUCUCAUCUGUAAGCACUGAGGACACUGGACCUGCUGGCUGGUUCUGGAACAAAUUCUGAUCCAUAAUAGUAGGAACUGACUCACUAGCUUUUGGGGUAGUAAGUACUGUGGUGCUCCUUCCCAAUCUCCUCUUUAGAUUCCAUUGACCUGCUCCCUGGCUUCUGGGACUGUCUGCUAUUGAGGGCUCACAGCUGCAUUCUACACUGGACUUGCCCUCAGUCUCUGGGAUCCAUAUUGACCAAAGUUAUGCUCGCAGCCAACAAUAUGCUAAAAUAUGGAGACAAAGGUCCAGCCCCUGUAGGACUCAAUUUGGGACACCAUGAAGGACAUUCCAGCUCCAAAACUCUCAGUAAGAUCCCCUGAGGCCUCAGUUGUAAAUCAGCUUUUCUUUCUGUCCAAUCCUGCCUUCCUAACUUCCUUAAAGUUCUAUCUCUUGAAAGCCCACCCCUCCACUCCCUGUGCCCAACUAUCCAUUUGAGUGUGUGUUGCCAGAGAACCCAAUCUAACUAUCAGAAGUGGUGCUAGGAAGCAGCUGCUAAGUGGGCUUUUGCAGAUCGAUGAUUCACUGGCUGUCUGGCAAUGGGACCCCAUCACCAGCGGGGAUACAGUGGACAAUGAACAGCCCCUGCUGUGGCAGUGCAGUUGUUAAAACUCUCCCUGGUGGUUAACCAGAAUAGCAUUUUGGUGGAAGAAAAUGAGCUGACUGAUGGAAUAUUUAUGGUGCUGGAGGCAUAGGAAGGAAAUGAUACCCAGAAGAACCACGGAAUUGGGUGGUUGACGCUGAGUACCAGUGAUUAAUUAAAGAGAUAGAAUAUCAGGCUCAGGGUGACAAGUCAUUAAUUCAAGACACAAUGUAAAGGCUGAAGAGGACUCCUGGGCAGCAUUCGAGGAUCUCCUGUGGUUGGAGGAUUAGACCAAAAAUCAGGCUCAGGCUUUAGAUCCACUUCAUAGAACGUAAGAGAAGUCUAAUAGUGAAUGAGUGGGACUUUGAGACUUGGGACAGGGAUAUCUGGGUAGAUGUAUUUGAGAACCUUGAAUUGCUAGACUCUCCUGAGUGCACUGAGCACACAGAAGCAGCACACUCACACCUGCUAGAAGAUAGUGGCCUCUUCUUUACAUAAAGAUAAUACAUAGGACUCAGAUGAGGCAGGUGACUUAGAAGAUAAAGUUCACUUAUGACAUCCUGGAAACCAGACUAAUAAAAAGGGUCAGAUCUUGGCACAGCCCACUAGGCAUAUGCUGGGCCUGCUUAGGGGACUAUAUAUUGAUAGGACUAUAUAUUGAAGGGGUUGUAGAAUUUAGAAGGAAGGAACCUCUGGAAGGUUUACCCUCUGGAAGGAACUGGAAAAAGUGUAUGGAACUAGAUCUUGAGUGUUCUAGAUCAAGGGGGAUGGACUAUAGAGUAGGAUAAGGGAGUUUAUUGAUAUUAUUGCACACUCCCAUAAUAUAGGGCUUACCACCCUAGCAAGGCCCUUAGGAAAUAGUGCUAACAUGCUGCUAGAAUGGCUCUUGAAAGCUUGGAAAAAGUAAUGGCAUACACUAUGAAAGGUAGGAAUUCCAGAACUGUUAUGGCCAUAUGAUCAUAGAAUUAGUGAGCAAAAGGCUCAAAGAAAAGAACAUGCUAGAGUGGAUUUACUAUGUAAAACUGCAAUACUCACCAGCCAGAUAAAUUCCCCAGAGGGGCCCAGAGGAUAGUCAUUUACCUAAGCAACAUGCAAUUUCCUGACUCAGGAUAUUGAGAAACUACUUUCCAGAGAGGUGGUGUGAGACCUGGGGUGUACAGGGUCUGUGGAGAGGGCCAUAAUGAGGUGGUCACUGGGUCAGGGGAAGGGAUGUAAACUCACAAGGAACUGCAUGUUCUGGACAAGCAGCUGAAGUGAAGCACCAUUGGAUUUUUCCUGUGUCCACUUAUGGAAUCCAUGUGGUAGGAGCAAGAAAAACAUAACAUAACAGCACCCUAGAACCAAGACAAGAAGCUCCUUUGUCCUGCAAUAUCCCUCCAGCACAUCUACUGAUAGAGCUUAACAUCAUGCUUGCUGCGAAGGAGCAAUGAUUAAAGCGUCCAGCUGUAUUGUCACAGAGCAAGGAGAUGCCUGAUAGAUUUGGACACAAGAAGCAAUGAUUGAUUAAUGUCACAGUCCACCCCUUUGAAAACUCAGAGUCUACAU